AUUGAACGCUGGCGGCAGGCCUAACACAUGCAAGUCGAGCGCGCGGCGGACGUGUGCGUAAUGUAUGGGGACUCCCCGAUAGAGGGGGAUAACUACUGGAAACGGUGGCUAAUACCGCUUACUGUCGUAUUACCCCUAUGUGAUUAGCUAGUAGGUAAGGUAAUGGCUUACCCAGGCGACGAGCACUAGCUGGUCUGAGAGGAUGAUCAGCCACACUGGGACUGGGACACGGCCCAGACUCCUACGGAGGCAGCAGUGGGGAAUAUUGCACAAUGGGCGCAAGCCUGAUGCAGCCAUGCCGCGUGUAUGAAGAAGGCCAUAGGGUUGUAAAGUACUUUCAGUCGGGAGGCGUUACCGAAAGAAGAAGCACCGGCUAACUCCGUGCCAGCAGCCGCGGUAAUAC
rnacentral:rRNA from 1 species